rnacentral:rRNA from 1 species
GUGCCAGCAGCCGCGGUAAUUCCAGCUCCAAUAGCGUAUAUUAAAGUUGUUGUGGUUAAAAAGCUCGUAGUUGAACCUUGGGCCUGGCUGGCCGGUCCGCCUCACCGCGUGCACUGGUCCGGCCGGGCCUUUCCCUCUGUGGAACCCCAUACCCUUCACUGGGCGUGGCGGGGAAACAGGACAUUUACUUUGAAAAAAUUAGAGUGCUCCAGGCAGGCCUAUGCUCGAAUACAUUAGCAUGGAAUAAUAAAAUAGGACGCGCGGUUCUAUUUUGUUGGUUUAUAGGACCGCCGUAAUGAUUAAUAGGGACAGUCGGGGGCAUCAGUAUUCAACUGUCAGAGGUGAAAUUCUUGGAUCAGUUGAAGACUAACUACUGCGAAAGCAUUUGCCAAGGAUGUUUUCAUUAAUCAGGAACGAAAGUUAGGGGAUCGAAGACGAUCAGAUACCGUCGUAGUCUUAACCAUAAACUAUGCCGACUAGGGAUCGGACGGUGUUAUUCAUGACCCGUUCGGCACCUUACGAGAAAUCAAAGUGCUUGGGCUCCAGGGGGAGUAUGGUCGCAAGGCUGAAACUUAAAGAAAUUGACGGAAGGGCACCACCAGGGGUGGAGCCUGCGGCUUAAUUUGACUCAACACGGGGAAACUCACCAGGUCCAGACACAAUAAGGAUUGACAGAUUGAGAGCUCUUUUCUUGAUUUUGUGGGUGGUGUGCAUGACCGUUCUUAGUUGUGGGGGUGACUUGUCUGCUUAAUUGCGAUAACGAACGAGACCUUACCUGCUAAUAGCCCGCAUUGCUCCGGCAGUGCGGCUGGCUUCUUAGAAGGACUUUCCGCUC